CCCGCGGCAAGACGGAAAGACCCCGUGAACCUUUACUAUAGCUUGACACUGAACAUUGAGCCUUGAUGUGUAGGAUAGGUGGGAGGCUUUGAAGUGUGGACGCCAGUCUGCAUGGAGCCGACCUUGAAAUACCACCCUUUAAUGUUUGAUGUUCUAACGUUGACCCGUAAUCCGGGUUGCGGACAGUGUCUGGUGGGUAGUUUGACUGGGGCGGUCUCCUCCUAAAGAGUAACGGAGGAGCACGAAGGUUGGCUAAUCCUGGUCGGACAUCAGGAGGUUAGUGCAAUGGCAUAAGCCAGCUUGACUGCGAGCGUGACGGCGCGAGCAGGUGCGAAAGCAGGUCAUAGUGAUCCGGUGGUUCUGAAUGGAAGGGCCAUCGCUCAACGGAUAAAAGGUACUCCGGGGAUAACAGGCUGAUACCGCCCAAGAGUUCAUAUCGACGGCGGUGUUUGGCACCUCGAUGUCGGCUCAUCACAUCCUGGGGCUGAAGUAGGUCCCAAGGGUAUGGCUGUUCGCCAUUUAAAGUGGUACGCGAGCUGGGUUUAGAACGUCGUGAGACAGUUCGGUCCCUAUCUGCCGUGGGCGCUGGAGAACUGAGGGGGGCUGCUCCUAGUACGAGAGGACCGGAGUGGACGCAUCACUGGUGUUCGGGUUGUCAUGCCAAUGGCACUGCCCGGUAGCUAAAUGCGGAAGAGAUAAGUGCUGAAAGCAUCUAAGCACGAAACUUGCC
rnacentral:rRNA from 1 species